rnacentral:rRNA from 1 species
GUGUCAGCCGCCGCGGUAAUACGUAGGGUGCAGGCGUUAAUCGGAAUUACUGGGCGUAAAGCGUGCGCAGGCGGUUUGCUAAGACAGGUGUGAAAUCCCCGGGCUUAACCUGGGAAUUGCGCUUGUAACUGGCAGGCUAGAGUGUGGCAGAGGGGGGUGGAAUUCCACGUGUAGCAGUGAAAUGCGUAGAUAUGUGGAGGAACACCGAUGGCGAAGGCAGCCCCCUGGGUCAACACUGACGCUCAGGCACGAAAGCGUGGGGAGCAAACAGGAUUAGAUAUCCUGGUAGUCCACGCCCUAAACUAUGUCAACUAGUUGUCGGGGGAGAAAUUCCUUGGUAACGAAGCUAACGCGUGAAGUUGACCGCCUGGGGAGUACGGCCGCAAGGUUAAAACUCAAAUGAAUUGACGG